UACGAAGGGGGCUAGCGUUGUUCGGAGUUACUGGGCGUAAAGGGCGCGUAGGCGGCGCACCAAGUCAGGCGUGAAAGCCCUGGGCUCAACCCGGGAAUUGCGCUUGAGACUGGUGUGCUUGAGUACGGGAGAGGAUAGUGGAAUUCCCAGUGUAGAGGUGAAAUUCGUAGAUAUUGGGAAGAACACCGGUGGCGAAGGCGGCUAUCUGGACCGUAACUGACGCUGAGGCGCGGAAGCGUGGGGAGCAAACAGG
rnacentral:rRNA from 1 species